UACGGGGGGGGGCAAGCGUUGUUCGGAAUUACUGGGCGUAAAGGGCUCGUAGGCGGCCAACUAAGUCGGACGUGAAAUCCCUCGGCUUAACCGGGGAACUGCGUCCGAUACUGGAUGGCUUGAGUAUGGGAGAGGGAUGCGGAAUUCCAGGUGUAGCGGUGAAAUGCGUAGAUAUCUGGAGGAACACCGGUGGCGAAGGCGGCAUCCUGGGCCUACUGACGCUGAGGAGCG
rnacentral:rRNA from 1 species